rnacentral:misc_RNA from 1 species
AAGUCGUAACAAGGUUUCCGUAGGUGAACCUGCGGAAGGAUCAUUAUCAAAACAGCGGACUUCGGUCCUUGCUGCACCCUUGUCUUUUGCGUACCGUAUGUUUCCUCGGCGGGCUUGCCUGCCGGUUGGACAUUAUCACACCUUUUUGUAGUUGCAAUCAGCGUCAGAAAACAAACAAUAAUUACAACUUUCAACAACGGAUCUCUUGGUUCUG